rnacentral:snoRNA from 1 species
UGCUGCUGUGAUGACUUGUGUUUUAUAUCAAUGGGAAUCUCUCUGACAUGAGAAUGAAAGAGAAUCCAAUUUCUGAUGCAGCU